UACGAAAGGGGGGCUAGCGUUGCUCGGAAUCACUGGGCGUAAAGGGUGCGUAGGCGGGUCUUUAAGUCAGGGGUGAAAUCCUGGAGCUCAACUCCAGAACUGCCUUUGAUACUGAAGAUCUUGAGUUCGGGAGAGGUGAGUGGAACUGCGAGUGUAGAGGUGAAAUUCGUAGAUAUUCGCAAGAACACCAGUGGCGAAGGCGGCUCACUGGCCCGAUACUGACGCUGAGGCACGAAAGCGUGGG
rnacentral:rRNA from 1 species